AUGGCAAGGUACUUAUCACAGCGCCCAGAACAAUGCCUGGAGUGGAUUAAGCGUUCAAAAUGUCAAUUGCGGUUCUUAUCAGGACGAAGAGAAAAAAGCAAAGUUGAAGGCGAUUGCUUUGGUCUGUUGCUCGGUGGUGAAAUGAAGAUGAAUGUGGCAUUGAGAAGACAGGCAAAGAAAGCACCAAUGUGGUCAGGACCAAGACAGUCAGGAAAUCUGGGAUUCCCAGAAGUGCGUCAAAGAACACCGACGUGGCUGAGCUGGGAACCGGUAUAGCGAAAUCGCCCUGUGGAGAGACUGAACUGUCUACACUGCCUCUGACAAUGUACGUAUUUCUCAUUCCAGCAUCUGAGCUUUCUGCUUUUGUGCUGCCUUUAAUUUUAGUAUUUUUUUUUCUUUUUUUUGAGACAGAGUCUCACUCUGUCGCCCAGGCGAUCUAGCUCACUGCAACCUCUGCCUCCCUGGUUCAAGCAAUUCUCCUGCCUCAGCCUCCUGAGUAGCUGGGAUUACAGACACGUGCCACCACGCCCAGCUAAUUUUUGUAUUUUAAGUAGAGACAGGGUUGCGCCACGUUGGUCAGGCUGGUCUUGAACUCCUGACCUCAUGAUCCAGCCGCCACGGCCUCCCAAAGUGCUGGGAUUACAGGUGUGAGCCACCUUGCCUGGCCAGUAAUCAUUUUUAAAGUUGACCUUUGGGGAUUGUCACCAUUCCUUUUAAGAGUCAUGAGUACAGGGCGAUCAUUUUCCUUUUUUCCACUACCAACUUGUACACAUCACCUCUACUAGAUCAAACUUAAAAUUUCUGGGUUUUUUUCUUUUUUUGAGGCAGAGUCUUACGCUGUCACCCAGGCUGGAGUGCAGUGGCAUGAUCUCAGCUCACUGCAACCUCCGGCUCCUGGGUUCAACUGAUUCUCCUGCCUCAGCCUCCCAAGUAGCUGAGAUUAUAGGCACAUGUUGCCAUGCCUGGCUAAUUUUGUUUUAUAUUUUUAGUAGAGACGGGUUUCACCAUGUUGGCCAGGCUGGUCUCAAACUCCCUACCUCACAUGAUCUACCGCCUCAGCCUCUCAAAGUGUUGGGAUUACAGGCAUGAGCCACUGCAUCCGGCUUAAACUUAAAAUUUCAUGAAUCCAAAAAUUACGUAUCUAUCACACUGCUGGGCUUUAUAUAUGUAUAAAGAUGUAGUAAACAGAUACUGAUGAAGACGAUUGUGAAGAGGGCUUGACCUGGGCUGUGGAAAACCCAGCCUCUAGUCUGUC
rnacentral:lncRNA from 13 species